GACGAGGUGGCCGAGUGGUUAAGGCGAUGGACUGCUAAUCCAUUGUGCUCUGCGGCACGCGUGGGUUCGAAUCCCAUCCUCGUCG
rnacentral:tRNA from 1 species